UACGUAGGGGGCGAGCGUUGUCCGGGUUUAUUGGGCGUAAAGAGCUCGUAGGCGGUUUGGUAAGUUGGAUGUGAAAUCUCCAGGCUCAACUUGGAGGGGUCAUUCGAUACUGCCAUGACUAGAGUUCGGUAGGGGAGUGUGGAAUUCCUGGUGGAGCGGUGAAAUGCGCAGAUAUCAGGAGGAACACCCGUAGCGAAGGCGGCACUCUGGGCCGGAACUGACGCUGAGGAGCGAAAGCGUGGGGAGCGAACAGG
rnacentral:rRNA from 1 species